rnacentral:lncRNA from 1 species
GGCCGGGGCGCGCCCCGAGGCCGGGCUCCAGCCGGGCAUGCUCCCCCUCCCCCUCAGCCUCCGCGCGCGCCGCCCGCCCCGCGAGAAAACUCGCCCCGAAAGCCGGGCCGCGCGCCGCCCCCAGAGCAAGACUACAACUCCCGGGAGAAAGUCGCCUGGGCCGUGUUUCCCAGGCUCCCGACAGCUCCGGCCCGGCUCGGAGGCCGCCUCGGCCCCCGUGCACCCCGGCCCGGCUCACCGGGGCCCCGCGGCCGCCACCCGCUCCCCCGUGGCCACAGCCCCGCCGCCGCCGGCCCGUCCCUCCUCUCUCCCCUCCCCAGGCCGUCCCUCCGGGAGGCGGCAGCAGGGGAGGAGGGGACGGGCGGAGGGGAGGGGUCCCCGGCCCGCCCGCUAGGCGGGGACGCGGCGCCGGCUGGUUCCCGGUCCCCCGAGGCCCAGGCGCAGCCGGGGGUGGGGGACACGGAGUCAGGCCUGGCACGCGGCCAGCCCACAAGCUGCUGGAGACCCCCUCAUACAAAUCUUGCCCCCAGUCCAGAGGGUCCUAAUCUGAGAACUCCAAAAUACAGCCUGGAGACAAAUGGUGGGGAGGGUUUCCCCUAAAUUUGGACAUCUCCAGAUUAAGACCUCCGCCGAAUCCGUGAGGCUUUCCCUCUCCAAGGAGCUCCUAAGAGAAUUUCCCAGUAAAAUCGCCUCAACUGCGGUAAAUAGGCUGUUCCCCGCGCCAGCAUUUGAGAAGAGCUGGUCCCCAGAGUGUAAAGGAGUUAGGAUGUUGGCAGGAGGAAGGAUGUGUCGCCGGAUGAGGAAAAGAAAGGUGGGUGUCUGCGGUGCAGUCCUUGGUCUUUCUGGCAAGUGAGGCGCUCUCCCCCUAAAUGUCUCAGAGGGAGACAAAUCAGCGGACUACCUUGCUUCCUUUGAUGACUUGGAAAGGAUCUGCAGUCCCCCUUAAAGCCCAAGAAUGUCUUCUCUUCCACGACAGCCGUUUGUGGACACAUACUGCUUACCUCCCUGACUGCAGGACAAGGUCCUUCAAAGCUGGAACUCUGACUGCGCUCAGUGAUCCCGCAGUGCUCCUCUGUAGAGUGGGAACCCAGGUCCAUUUCAAAUAUCUACGUUGGAAUGAGUGGAUCUCGCUGGGGGUGAGAGGCACUUUGUCUACCCACACUGCCAGUCCCAGCCACAUGCCUCCUCCCUUCCCUCAAAAAGCAGUGUCUUCUUAGUCUGCUUCUUCAAGGGGAGAAGUCGUUUUUAUUUAUGGAAACGAACUCACUAUAUGGUAGAAAGAACAAGAGUAUCAGAAUUUGCACUUUGGACUUGGACUCCCCUCUAAGCAGCUGCACAAGGUGGAACAAACCAAUAAUCCUUGCUGAUCUGUUUUGUCCUUAGGAAAAAUGGUGGAGGGAGAAUAUUAGAUCAGGGGUUCUUAGCCUUGGCUUCAUGAAUAAGCUCAAGGAUGUCAAUGAAGCUUUUGACAUGAUCUCAACUUUUUUGUGAACAUUUAUAUAUUUUUCUGGAAUGGGGUCCAUAGAGUUACAAGUUCUUUAAGACCUCCAGAUGGACCCCAAUAUGGCAGAAAUGAACUAUUUAAAGAUACCUGCCUGCUCCCGUAGUCUGACCCUCUAUGGCUAAGCAAGGUUUUAGAGGAGUGGAAGGCUGGCCAUUGCACAGUAUCAGGGUUCCAGACAGGCUCCCUGGCUCUUCCCUCCCAGUCCUGCUCCUGAGAUAUAGUUCUUUCUGGCCGCCACUUCCCUUAGGGCAACCCCAGAGCUUAAAUCAUCUGCAAGGCAGUCACCUUUCAGGCACCUUUCAUCCGGCACCUGUGUUCUUAGCUGGAUUAACUAGAAAGCUAGUUGGAGGAAGGAAGGUGAAAGUGGAGGAAGGGGAAAAGAGGAAAAGUUGGAGACGAAUCUGGCUUAUGGUUAGAAGCAUAUUUUUUGGCCAGGCAAAGUGGCUCACGCCUGUAAUCCCAGCACUUUGGGAGGCUGAGGUAGGCGGAUUGCCUGAGCUCAGGAGUUGGAGACCAGCCUGGCCAACGUGGUAAAACCCCGUCUCUAACAAAAAUACAAAAAUUUAGCCAGGCAUGAUGGUGCAAGCCUGUAAUCCCAGCUGUUCAGGAGGCUGAGGCAUGAGAAUUGCUUGAACCCAGGAGGUGGAGGUUGCAGUGAGCUGAAAUUGCACCACUGCACUCCAGGCUGGGUGACCGAGCAAGACUCUGUCUCAAAAAAAAGAAAAAAAAACUUAUUUUUUGAGACAGAGUCUCACUCUGUCGCCCAGGCUGGAUUGCAGUGGGGCAAACACAGUUCACUGCAGCCUCAAUUUCUUGGGCUCAAGCAACUAUCCUGCCUCAGCCUCCCGAGGAGUAGCUGGGAUCAUAGGUGCUUGCCACCACACCUGGCUAAUUUUUUAAAUAUUUUGUAGACACAGGGUCUUGCCACAUUGCCCAGGCUGGUCUUGAACUCCUGGGCUCAAGUUAUCCUCCCGCCUCGGUCUCCCAAAGUUCUGGAAUUACAGAUGUUAGUUACCACCCGGACCAAUUUUAGGAUUCCUUUAGCCAGUGACCUUGGUGUGACCUUGUACUUCUGCAGCAUUUUAUACCUUCUGCGGCACACCCUUGUAGUGGGUCGAAUUGUGUUCCCCCAAAAGAUAUGUUCUAGUCCUAAUUCCCAGUACCUGUGAAUGUGACUUAUUUAGAAAUAGGGUCUUUGCAGAUGUAAUCUAGUUCAAAUGAGGUCAUACUGGAUUAGGGCGGGUCCUCAUCCAAUAACUGUUGUUCUUAUUAGAAUAGGGAAAUUUGGAUGCAGAGACACAGAGAAAAUGCCAUGUGAAGAUGGAUCAGAGACAGAAGUGAUGCGGCUGCAAGCCAAGGAAUGUGAAGAAUGGCCAGCCACCACCGGAAGCUAGGGGAGACGCCAGCACAGAUUCUCCCUGAGAGUAUCCAGAAGAAACCAACCCUCCAACACCUGGAUUUCAGACUUCUGACCUUGAGAAGUGUGAGCCAAUAAAACAACUGCAGUGGAAAAAAAAAAAAAAAAAA